GCUCUUCUAAUGCAAAGUGAAAGAAUCUCAGAGCUGCAGGGAAUGUUAGCUGUCUGCUAGACCAGUUGCUUGUCCAAGAAGUCUUUUGGUUUCCUAUUGCUACUGUGACAAAUUUCUACAAACUUAAUGGCUUAAAACAACACGAAUUGCUUACUUACGGUUCUGGAGGUGCGUCGUCCAGAGUCGGCCUCCCUGGGCUGAAGGUAAGCUGUCGGCAGGGCGUCCGUCCUUCUGGAAGUUCUGAGGGGAGUCUGUUUGCUUCCCUUUUUCAGUUUCCUGAGGUGGCUGCACUCCUUGGCUCCUGACCUCCUCCCCUGCUUACUGCAGCCUCCUGCGUCCAUCACAUCUGCUACUGCCCCCUCACAACGCCUGCCUCCCUCUUGUGAGGACUCUUGUAAUUACCUUGGACCCACCUGGAUAAUCCAGGAUGCUCUCCCCAUCUCGAGAUUCUUAGUUUAAUUACACCUGCAAAGUCCCUUUGGCCAUAUAAAGUAACAUUUACAGAUUCCAAGGAUGGGAUGUGGACAUCUUUUGGGAACCAU
rnacentral:lncRNA from 1 species